rnacentral:rRNA from 1 species
GAUGAACGCUGGCGGCGUGCCUAAUACAUGCAAGUCGAGCGAACCGACGAGGAGGUUGUCCCUCUGACGUUAGAGUCGGAAAGGGGAGUAACACGUGGAUAUCACACCUCUAAGACUUGGAUAACUUCGGGAAAACGGAGUUAUAAUCGGAUAAUAUAUUUAAUCUCCUGGUUCAAUAGUGAAGGAAGGUUUUGUUGUCAUUUAUGGUUGGCUCCGCGCCGCAUUAGCUAGUUGGUAGGGUAACGGCGUACCAGGGCAACGAUGCGUAGCCGACCUGAGAGGGUGAUCGGCCACACUGUAACAGAGACACGGUCCAGACGCCUACGGGAGUCAGCGGGAGGGAAGCUGCCACAAUGGGCGAAUGCCUGACGGAGCAACGCCGCGUGAGUGAGGAAGGGCUUCGGAUCGUAAAACUCUGUUAUUAGUGAAGAACAAAUGUGUAAGUAACGAUGCACGUCUUGAGGGUACCUAAUCAGAAAGCCACGGCUAACUACGUG